rnacentral:lncRNA from 10 species
CGCCGCUCGCGCCCUCCGCGCGCCCGGGACCAGCAGCCGCGGCGCGGCCCGCACAGACGGAACCGCCGCCCGCCCCGGAACUGCUCGGCCCGCCCGCCCCUCACCCGGAAGCGAAGCCGCGGCGUUGGCGAGGCCGGUCCCGGCUCCCCAGCCGCCGCGCCCCAGCUCCGUCCUCCCGGCUCGGCCGGCCGCCCUGGGCCCCUCCCCGCACCGCCCGCCUCUACGUUCUGGACCCGGACCCGACCGGCCCGGCUCCGGUCCCUGCCCGGGUCCCGGUCUCUUCUGGCAGGCCACGCCACCUCUUGGCUUUCUGCCCACUAAUAAGAUUGUUGAUGUUGAUGACUGGGCACAGGCUGCGGCCCCUCCUGAGCCCCUCAGAAGCAAAACUGGAAUGAGAGUGGGGAGCUGCCCGUCUUCCAGCAGGAGGCGGGCCCCGACUCCCGCCGAGCGACUCCGGGCCCCGCGCGGUCCCUGUCACCUUGUAUUCUCAUUGCCCGUUCCGCGGCCGUCAGCUCCCAGGAUUGCCCCAUUUAGCAAAUAGCUUUCGACAACCCCUCUUCGUCAGACGUUGUAGGUGCAGAGGUGCUGGAGUGGACAGAGGUGCAGAUCCCUGAAUUCAAUGGAGGUCAGUGUGAUGGGAGUCGGAGCGAUACCUGCGAUAGGGAAGGAUGCAUUUCCGCUGAGACCAUCACGAUCGUAAAGAUCUGCACUUUGAAGACCUGGCGCAAGACCAGACAGAGGGAACAGCCAAUGCAAAGAUCAUUAGGGGAGGGGGGCAGAAAGAGAUCAGCGUGUCCAAGGAAUUGCAAAAUGGCCUGUGUGGCAGGAGAGUAGUAUGACAAGAGGUAGGCAGAGGCUAGGUGUAGGGCUUUGGGGGCCUUGGAUUUUGUUCUGAGUGCAAUGAGAAGGCAAUGGAGGGUGUUUGCAGAAUCCCAUGAUCUUACUUAAUCUGUGAAGAUCCAUAGUGUAGCUUGUAUGGGGGAAAGGCAAAGAUGACAACAGGGACGCCAGUUAAGAGGCCAAGUAGUCCACGAGAGAGAAGUGUAGCUUUGGCUAGGGUGAGAGUAGUGAAGAUGGAGAGGAAUGGACAGAUUUGGAUGUUUUGUAGAUAGAGGGAAGGACCUGCUGAUAAUGGGGAAGGAGUUGAAAGAGAACUCAAGAAUAAGUUUUUGACCUGAGCAACCAGGUGUUAUGAUCCCGUUUACUGAGUUGUGUGUGCAGCGUCUUAAGUUGGAUGAAUAAACAGGAAAAUAAGGCAUUUGCAUAAUUUGUCAGCAUAUGCUAUGGUGGAGGUUUUCUUUUCUUCCACAGCUCAUGGGCCGAAUCACCACUAACCCUGACGUUUGAUCCAGCUCUCCCUAAUGGUACUCCGUGCAGCAGAUGGAGAUGAAACACUCAUUUUCUCCUUAAAUGCCACAUAGGUCGUCUCUAGAAGGACCUAGAAGAGUGACAUCUGUCUCUAUUUUUGGAAUGCUUACAUGUCCACAAAAUUCAGGAGGUUUCAAAUUCCACCAAAUCCAACAGCCUUGCAGAAAUGUGCAACAGAGUAUCAGUGUCACUACAUAGCUGGGAGAAGGAAGGGUUUGAUUGCUGGUCUAUAUUGACUUUUCUGUCCAAACAUUGGUCUCUUGGGGGAAAGGUUUUUUUUUUUUGUUAUUAUACAAUUUAUUUUUCCUCUGCCACAGAAAUUGAC